AGUCAGAGGAGGCUUCUGCUCCAGAUGAUGGGGAGGCACAGAUUGAGGUUGUCAUUCAGACGAGCUUGGCUGAUCAGUACCGAUGGAGGAUAUGACUCGGUAUAGAGAGCGAUUUGGACCAUCAUGCUACGAAUCGGGAUCUGGAUCAACGAUCGAUGGGGGAGAAUUCAAGUUCAGGAGGACUACAUCAGUCAGAGAGCCCGAUGGUAGAGGGAGUAGACACAGCAUGUUAUCUUUGUUGGGAGCUUUUGGCAGUAGGAGGAGGUCCUCCAGAGAUAUUUCAGCAGGAGCUACCAUCUAUGAUUUGGAUCCACAUGCUUUGCCCAGUAAGGAUUCAAAGCAAC
rnacentral:lncRNA from 1 species